AGGCAAAAAAACACUGUCGUAUCUCCUCAAGAAGACUCUCCUGUGCAAAGGUGGACUUGCACCCACUCCCAUUGUAAAGGACCUACUUCCAGAUCCUAAAUUGGAUAACUCUAGAAUGGAGAAGAUACUAAGGGCCAUGCUGCACAAGAAGAUUUAUCCUCAAAGGACAAGUCCAAAGGCCACAUCACAGAAAUACUUGGAUAUGCCAGAGAUGGGUAGCGGUGAGGAAGAAGAGGAUAGUUCUAAAAGUAAAUGGGUCAAAACAGACUCAGAAUAUAUCGUUCUCGAGAUAUAAUUUGAGAGCUCCACCAACUGUGAAUUCCGGGUAAUAGUAUCUUUCAUGUCAUUCCUUCUCCAAUUUUACAGCACAUUGAUGCUAGCAAUCUAAG